CAGUCGACGAUGAGCCUUUCGGGGUGGAUUAGUGGCGAACGGGUGAGUAACACGUGGGCAAUCUGCCCUUCACUCUGGGACAAGCCCUGGAAACGGGGUCUAAUACCGGAUAACACCUUCCACCGCAUGGUGGGGGGUUGAAAGCUCCGGCGGUGAAGGAUGAGCCCGCGGCCUAUCAGCUUGUUGGUGGGGUGAUGGCCUACCAAGGCGACGACGGGUAGCCGGCCUGAGAGGGCGACCGGCCACACUGGGACUGAGACACGGCCCAGACUCCUACGGGAGGCAGCAGUGGGGAAUAUUGCACAAUGGGCGAAAGCCUGAUGCAGCGACGCCGCGUGAGGGAUGACGGCCUUCGGGUUGUAAACCUCUUUCAGCAGGGAAGAAGCGAAAGUGACGGUACCUGCAGAAGAAGCGCCGGCUAACUACGUGCCAGCAGCCGCGGUAAUACGUAGGGCGCAAGCGUUGUCCGGAAUUAUUGGGCGUAAAGAGCUCGUAGGCGGCUUGUCGCGUCGGAUGUGAAAGCCCGGGGCUUAACCCCGGGUCUGCAUUCGAUACGGGCAGGCUAGAGUGUGGUAGGGGAGAUCGGAAUUCCUGGUGUAGCGGUGAAAUGCGCAGAUAUCAGGAGGAACACCGGUGGCGAAGGCGGAUCUCUGGGCCAUUACUGACGCUGAGGAGCGAAAGCGUGGGGAGCGAACAGGAUUAGAUACCCUGGUAGUCCACGCCGUAAACGUUGGGAACUAGGUGUUGGCGACAUUCCACGUCGUCGGUGCCGCAGCUAACGCAUUAAGUUCCCCGCCUGGGGAGUA
rnacentral:rRNA from 1 species